AAGCACUUGACAAGUAUUCGAA
rnacentral:miRNA from 1 species